rnacentral:tRNA from 1 species
AAAGAAUUAGUUAAACUUAUAACAUUAAAUUGUCAUUUUAAAAUUAUUAAAUAAUAAUACUCUUUC